GCGGAUGUGGCGGAAUUGGCAGACGCGCUAGAUUCAGGUUCUAGUGAUAGCAAUAUCCUGUGGGUUCAACUCCCAUCAUCCGCACCA
rnacentral:tRNA from 1 species